rnacentral:rRNA from 1 species
UACGUAGGUGUCGAGCGUUGUCCGGAUUUAUUGGGCGUAAAGAGCCCGCAGGCGGCUUGGCAAGUUUGAGGUGAAAUCUCCCGGCUUAACUGGGAGGGGGCCUCGAAAACUGCCAGGCUUGAGGCAUGGAGAGGGAUGCGGAAUUCCCGGUGUAGUGGUGAAAUGCGUAGGUAGUCGGGAGGAACACCGGUGGCGAAGGCGGUUCUCUGGGACGGUACUGACGCUGAGACGCGAAAGCGUGGGGAGCGAACAGG